rnacentral:rRNA from 1 species
CCUACGGGAGGCAGCAGUGAGGAAUAUUGGUCAAUGGGAGAGAUCCUGAACCAGCCAAGCCGCGUGAGGGAAGACGGCCCUAUGGGUUGUAAACCUCUUUUGUCGGAGAACAAAACCCGGGACGUAUCCCGGACUGCGUGUAUCCGAAGAAAAAGCAUCGGCUAACUCCGUGCCAGCAGCCGCGGUAAUACGGAGGAUGCGAGGGUUAUCCGGAUUUAUUGAGUUUAAAGGGUGCGUAUGCGUUACGUUAAGUCCGCGGUAAAAUUGCGGGGCUCAACCUCGUCGAGCCGUUGAAACUGGCAGAUGUGAGUGGGCGAGAAGUACGCGGAAG